UACGGGGGGGGCAAGCGUUGUUCGGAAUUACUGGGCGUAAAGGGCUCGUAGGCGGCCAACUAAGUCAGACGUGAAAUCCCUCGGCUUAACCGGGGAACUGCAUCUGAUACUGGAUGGCUUGAGUUCGGGAGAGGGAUGCGGAAUUCCAGGUGUAGCGGUGAAAUGCGUAGAUAUCUGGAGGAACACCGGUGGCGAAGGCGGCAUCCUGGACCAACACUGACACUGAGGAGCGAAAGCCAGGGGAGCAAACGGG
rnacentral:rRNA from 1 species